rnacentral:rRNA from 1 species
GGGGAAUUUUGCGCAAUGGGGGAAACCCUGACGCAGCAACGCCGCGUGGAGGAUGAAGUAUUUCGGUACGUAAACUCCUUUCGAUGGGGAAGAUAAUGACGGUACCCAUAGAAGAAGCCCCGGCUAACUUCGUGCCAGCAGCCGCGGUAAUACGAGGGGGGCAAGCGUUGUUCGGAUUUAUUGGGCGUAAAGGGUGCGUAGGCGGUUUGGCAAGUCUUCUGUGAAAUCUAUGGGCUCAACCCAUAGUCUGCAUGAGAAACUACCGGGCUUGAGUGAUGGAGAGGUGAGUGGAAUUUCCGGUGUAGCGGUGAAAUGCGUAGAUAUCGGAAGGAACACCUGUGGCGAAAGCGGCUCACUGGACAUUAACUGACGCUGAUGCACGAAAGCUAGGGGAGCAAA